ensembl:lncRNA
UUAAAGUAUGGUUUAAUGCCAGCUCCUUAAAGGCUCCAUAAAGGCUCCUUAAAGGCUCCAUGAAGCCUCCUUAAAGGCUCCAUAAAGGCUCCAUAAAGGCUCCUUAAAGGCUCCAUAAAGGCUACUUAAAGGCUCCAUAAAGCAUCCUUAAAGGCUCCAUAAAGGCUCCAUAAAGCCUCCUUAAAGGCUCCAUAAAGGCUCCUUAAAGGCUCCAUAAAGGCUACUUAAAGGCUCCAUAAAGCCUCCUUAAAGGCUCCAUAAAGGCUACUUAAAGGCUCCAUAAAGCCUCCCUAAAGGCUCCUUGAAGCCUCCUUAAAUGCUUCAUAAAACCUACAUAGAGGCUCCAUAGCUUUAACCAAAAAUCAUCCCAAACAACUGUCUGAAGCUGCUGGAAUAACCUGGAGGACU